rnacentral:snoRNA from 1 species
UAUCUCUGAUUUGCGGAAGAGGCCCAAUAACUCACAGAUUGUGUGUUGUGAUUAGCUUUGUCUCUUGUUCCUACUCCCUCCGUUCCGAUUUACUCGUCGUGGUUUUAGAAUUUGAACUAAAACCACGACGAGUAAAUCGGAACGGAGGGAGUAUGAGAUAUGAGUUAAAUAACGGCACGAGAUAU